GAUGAACGCUCGCUACAGGCUUAACACAUGCAAGUCGAGGGGAAACGGCAUUAAGUGCUUGCACUUUUUGGACGUCGACCGGCGCACGGGUGAGUAACGCGUAUCCAACCUUCCCAUGACUAAGGGAUAACCUGCCGAAAGGCAGACUAAUACCUUAUGGUCUUCACUGACGGCAUCAGAUGUGAAGUAAAGAUUUAUCGGUUAUGGAUGGGGAUGCGUCUGAUUAGCUUGUUGGCGGGGUAACGGCCCACCAAGGCAACGAUCAGUAGGGGUUCUGAGAGGAAGGUCCCCCACAUUGGAACUGAGACACGGUCCAAACUCCUACGGGAGGCAGCAGUGAGGAAUAGUGGUCAAUGGGCGAGAGCCUGAACCAGCCAAGUAGCGUGCAGGAGGACGGCCCUAUGGGUUGUAAACUGCUUUUGUAUGGGGAUAAAGUCAAUCACGUGUGAUUGUUUGCAGGUACCAUACGAAUAAGGACCGGCUAAUUCCGUG
rnacentral:rRNA from 1 species